AUUCCUACGGGAGGCAGCAGUGGGGAAUAUUGCACAAUGGGCGCAAGCCUGAUGCAGCAACGCCGCGUGAGGGAUGACGGCCUUCGGGUUGUAAACCUCUUUUAGCAGGGAAGAAGCGAAAGUGACGGUACCUGCAGAAAAAGCGCCGGCUAACUACGUGCCAGCAGCCGCGGUAAUAA
rnacentral:rRNA from 1 species